rnacentral:misc_RNA from 1 species
UGGAGGGCGGCGACAACGGCCACUACCCGCCCUCCUGGUACAGCAAAGCCAAAAAUCCCGAGAGGCCGCCCACGCAAACGGGCAACCACGCGGCAGCGAGCGGAUGCAUCAACUCGGCCUUGCUCAAAUCUUCAGUUACUUUCGACAGGACAUAGAGCAGAAACCCUGCUGCAACGCCACUUAAAACCAUCUUUUGCACCCCGCCGA